AGCUCCAACAGCGUAUAUUAAAAUUGUUGCGGUUAAAACGCUCGUAGUCGAAUUCUUGCUAGGUGGCUCCGGUGCUUCCCAGUGAAGUAUACGCGGUAAUCUCCUGUGCUAUUACUUGGGGAAGGUGUAUAUGCUUCAAUGCAUGUCACACUACCUAAGUCCUUACUUUGAGGAAAUGAGUGUGUUUCAAGCAGGCGCAAGCCUUGAAUAUGAUAGCAUGGAAUAACAGCAUGAGACCUUCUUUCAAAGCUGUUGGUUCUUUGGAAUUAGGGAAUGGAAACAUGGAUAGUUGGGGGUAUUCGUAUUUAACUGUCAGAGGUGAAAUUCUUGGAUUUUUUAAAGACAAACAAUUGCGAAGGCAUUUACCCAGGAUGUUCUCA
rnacentral:rRNA from 1 species